rnacentral:snoRNA from 1 species
ACAUAGCUGCAUAUGAUGAAAACCAUGUUGGUAGGGACAUCUGAGAGUGUGAUGAGUACCAACAUCUCUGAGCUGUAUGU